ensembl:lncRNA
UGUACACAUACGUAUAUACAUAUAUUACGCUUGUUUUUGUAAAAAUACAGAGUUAAAUACGUGUUUAAAAGUAUUUAUUAAGAAGUUGAAACAUAAGAUAAAACCAUAUCUAAACAAAUUAAUUCCACCUUUGUUUAUUUCUGUAUUUGACUGCAACAAGAAAGUUAACCAGGUGGCAGCCGAAAUCCUGUCAAUAAUUUUUGUAGAAUAUACAAACAAAACAGUUGAAAAUAUAAAAUUAGAUGAAGCAGAGCUAAAAAUAAAAAAUACUCCAAUAAUUUUUUAUAACAGUGACAUAUUAUAUAAAAAUAUAAAUAAUUUAAAAAUUAAUGUUUUGAGUUUGUUCAAAUGUUUAAAAUAUAUAAAACAAGAUUUAUUUGAAGAAAUUUCUUGUAAUUUAUUACUUACAGAUUGUAAUGAAGAAUUUGACAGUAGCAUUUAUUUAUUCAAUGUUUUAUGUUUUUUUCCUUCUUUCUUAUAUUUUAUAAUUAAAGUUUAUUAUUCUGUGAGAGAGGAAGAAAAAGUGGCCACAGGGAGUGCACAUGAACAAUAUGUAGAAAGUAACACUGUUGGGGAAAGUAGUAUUCCCAAUACGAGUGCCAUUAUCACUACCAGUGGAGAGAAUAACAUAAAACAAAAAAAAAAUAACAACAAAGUAAAUAGUAAAGUGAAUUGCAAAUCAAUCGAGAAAGACUUUGUAGUUUUUGAAGAUAUAUUUAAACAUUUUUUUAAAUCUUUAAAAGAUAUAUAUAGUGUUAAUAAAGAUAAUUUACAAAUAAAAAGAAUGUUAUAUUUUUCAGUGUUAAAUAUCAUUAAUUUAUUAAGAGUACAUAAAUUUGAAUAUAUAAAUAUAAUUGAAGAAAAAGAAAAAGAAUAUAUUUAUGUUUACAUUCAUUUGAUAAUAAGAAAUAAAGACGCAUAUAUAUUUAAAACUAUUAAUAAUUUAAUUUGUUUAUACAUUUUAAAUAAUAAUAAUAAUAAUAAAUGCUUGAAAGAGAAAUUAAUUAACCCUAUUUUUUUAACAAACUAUUUAUUAUUAGUAAAAGAUAAUCAACUGCUUGGCAAUAAUGACCAUUUUAAUAUAACUUUAUUUAUUAAUUUAUUUGAAGUAAAAGAUAAACAAAAGCAUUUAUUUUUUUUUUUUUUUUUAUUCUAUUUUAUAUUAACAGAUAAUAAAAAAAAAUCUAUAAAAUUAUAUUAUAAAAUAUUAUUAGACUUGUAUAAUGAUUUUUGUAUGUUAUUACUAAAUGAGAAUAAAAANNNNNNNNNNUUUUUUUAUCUUUCGAAUAUUUUGAUUUUAGCAAUAAUAGUAAUAACAUCAGUAAUGUUAAUCACAUAAGUAAUAUCCAUCUAAGUGAUAAUGGCAAUGGAAACAUUAACAAUAGUAACAGAAGUAAUGUCGGAAAUAUUGACAAUAUCAAUGGUAGAAACAACAAUAACGACAGUGCUAAGGUGUUGGAAGAUAUAAUUAAUUUUAUAAAACAAAAUGAAUUAUGCCUAAAUAAUUUAUUUGAUUAUUUUGAGACAAUUAAUAAGUUUAUAGAAGAAUAUAUUACAACUAAUAUCAUUGUUGAUAUUAAUAGCGGUGCUAAUAAUAUAAAACAUGCACAUUUAUUACAGUACAAAUACAAAUUAUAUAUUUUUAUUUUAUCUUUACAUUUAGCUUUUGUUUUAUUAAAAACAUACCCAACUGAAUGUGUUAAAAUAAUUAAUAAAAAUAAACUAAAUAAUAUAAAAGAAUAUAAU